rnacentral:rRNA from 1 species
UGAACGCUGGCGGCAGGCCUAACACAUGCAAGUCGAGCGGUAGAGAGAAGCUUGCUUCUCUUGAGAGCGGCGGACGGGUGAGUAAUGCCUAGGAAUCUGCCUGGUAGUGGGGGAUAACGUCCGGAAACGGACGCUAAUACCGCAUACGUCCUACGGGAGAAAGCAGGGGACCUUCGGGCCUUGCGCUAUCAGAUGAGCUUAGGUCGGAUUAGCUAGUUGGUGGGGUAAUGGCUCACCAAGGCGACGAUCCGUAACUGGUCUGAGAGGAUGAUCAGUCACACUGGAACUGAGACACGGUCCAGACUCCUACGGGAGGCAGCAGUGGGGAAUAUUGGACAAUGGGCGAAAGCCUGAUCCAGCCAUGCCGCGUGUGAAGAAGGUCUUCGGAUUGUAAAGCACUUUAAGUUGGGAGGAAGGGCAGUAAAUUAAUACUUUGCUGUUUUGACGUUACCGACAGAAUAAGCACCGGCUAACUCUGUGCCAGCAGCCGCGGUAAU